GCAACCUAGUCCAGUGGAAGGUGUCCCUGACAUGGCAGGGGUUUGGAAUGGGAUGAUUUUUUAGCUCCCUUCCAAUACAAACCAUUCUUUGAUUAGAUAUAUUUUUUUUUUAUUUUUAAUUCUGUGUGGAUCUCUCACCAGGACAACUGGAGUGACUCCCUACCAGCAGUUUAUGGAGCAAAGUCUAAACCAAAACAUGCAGCUCCUGCUGCCAGCUCAAAGGGAUUUCUGUAAAUUGUCAGUGCUUUACCUGUCCUGCCCCCAUUCUUCAACAAACAGCAAAGUUCUCAUUCUGAUGAAGUAAAUAUCUGGUGAGGACCCUGCAGGGCACAUCUGGAGCCCGUUGGUUUUGUCCAGUGCCUUGGGGAUGUUUUCACAGGUGUGUAGCUAAACAGAGCCUCUGGGGCUGUCCCCACAAAGUAUUUCAUCACCGCUGCAUUAGGUUGUAAGAAACAAAAAAAAGAAGAGUUAAUAAACCUAUAAACAUAGUAGGAUUCUAUACAGUUUUGUGGAUUUAUUUCUAGACAAGGGAAAACAAAAAAUUAUUGCUUGGCAAAGGUCAUUUUUUCAAGUAUCACAUAUGUUCACUAGUUAAGUAUUUCAUUACAGUGCAGAUAAAAGCACAAGAUGUCUCCAGUGGUUAGUGAUGCCAUGUUUUAUUUAUUACCUUUUGUAGCUUUAUUCUUCAUAAAGGACACCUACAUGUCCUUUUCUUAACCUCCAGCUGAGUUUAAUUCUGAAUGGCAAUUCAAUGCAAUGAAAAAAAACCACAACCAAUGAAGCAAACCAAAGCAAAACAACAUGUAUCCUUAAAACAUUUGAAAAUAUACCCCUAAAUGAUUUAUUUCAUUAGAUUUCUACAAAAAAAAAAAAAAAAUUUGUGAAGAUGUGGGUUUCUUAUAGCAAUAGGUCUGAAUGGCCUGCUACAUAUCACCAGAUAAAAGUGAAUCACUUACUGCACUGGUAUUCCUAGGUUCCAACAUUAUCUUUAAAGAGAUAAAUAAAGAUAUGAUGUUUCUCUUUUGCUACUUGGAUUCUUGGCCCUCAUUUAUAGAAAACUAAAAUAACCCAAAUUUUCUUUUUCUCAGAAAAAUUAAGAUCAAGGCUUUGGCAGACUGAAGCUUCCAGCAAUCCUAAAGAUGAAAAAUUCAGCUUCAAAGGUAGAAGGAUACUGACAACAACGGUUUUUUUAUAAAUACUCAAAGAGUAUUUAAAGAAGAAUGACAAAAAACACUCAGGUCUGUGGAAAGUUUGAUAUUUUACUCUAAUCCCAAAACUAAUAUCCAUGUAUCCAUGUAUCCUCCCAUCCUCUCCACUUCCUUUGGACAAGGAAGCGGUGGCUUCGACAACCCUCAGGGCAGAGGGGCUGUAAAUAUAUUCCUGGUGGCAAAGUUGGAAAAGUUCUCUGUAUCUCCAAUGUAUGUGAUACACCAGUGUAACAAAUAGAUUAAAUCUUGACUUAUUUCCACUUUUUCUCACCCAACAGACAGCUCCAGUCUCGGCUGGAUGAAGCCAGGGCUUCCAUCUGGAUCCAAACAAGACUCAAGAGAAUCAGAAGCGCUGGUGGGCAGUGACUUUUCUGAAAAUUAAAUAGUAAAGCAAAUAAUAAGAGGAACAAACCAAGCACCUAAUUUUCCCCCUCCACUCUGUGUUCUGACGUGGCAAAUUAAGUCCUCUGAUGCUUUCCAAAACCAACCACUACUCCUUGGGCUUCUCAGUAUCACACAGAGCCUGAGGGAAGUUUCAACAUGUCAAUGAUGUUCUCCAAGAAAGAAUGGGCACUUCAAACAAU